GUAUUAAAUUGGUGCAAAAGUAAUUGUGGUUUUUACCAUUACUUUUAAUAGCAAAAACUGCAAUUACUUUUGCACCAACCUAAUA
ensembl:miRNA